UACAUGUGGGGCAAGCGUUGUUCGGAAUUACUGGGCGUAAAGCGUGCGCAGGCGGUUUUGUAAGCCAGAUGUGAAAUCCCCGGGCUUAACCUGGGAAUGGCAUUUGGGACUGCAAGGCUGGAGUACGGCAGAGGAGACUGGAAUUCCUGGUGUAGCAGUGAAAUGCGUAGAGAUCAGGAGGAAUACCGAUGGCGAAGGCAGGUCUCUGGGCUGAUACUGACGCUCAU
rnacentral:rRNA from 1 species